rnacentral:rRNA from 1 species
AGAGUUUGAUCCUGGCUCAGAACGAACGCUGGCGGCAGGCUUAACACAUGCAAAUCGAACGCCCCGCAAGGGGAGUGGCAGACGGGUGAGUAACGCGUGGGAACGUACCUUUCAGUUCGGAAUAACUCAGGGAAACUUGUGCUAAUACCGGAUACGCCCGCAAGGGGAAAGAUUUAUCGCUGAAAGAUCGGCCCGCGUUGGAUUAGCUAGUUGGUGGGGUAAAGGCCUACCAAGGCGACGAUCCAUAGCUGGUCUGAGAGGAUGAUCAGCCACACUGGGACUGAGACACGGCCCAGACUCCUACGGGAGGCAGCAGUGGGGAAUAUUGGACAAUGGGCGAAAGCCUGAUCCAGCCAUGCCGCGUGUGUGAUGAAGGCCUUAGGGUUGUAAAGCACUUUCACCGAUGAAGAUAAUGACGGUAGUCGGAGAAGAAGCCCCGGCUAACUUCGUGCCAGCAGCCGCGGUAAUACGAAGGGGGCUAGCGUUGUUCGGAAUCACUGGGCGUAAAGCGCACGUAGGCGGAUUGUUAAGUGAGGGGUGAAAUCCCGGGGC